rnacentral:rRNA from 1 species
CUACGGGCGGCAGCAGUGGGGAAUAUUGCACAAUGGGCGCAAGCCUGAUGCAGCAACGCCGCGUGGGGGACGACGGCCUUCGGGUUGUAAACCUCUUUUAGUAGGGAAGAAGCGCAAGUGACGGUACCUACAGAAAAAGCACUGGCUAACUACGUGCCAGCAGCCGCGGUAAUACGUAGGGUGCAAGCGUUGUCCGGAAUUAUUGGGCGUAAAGAGCUCGUAGGCGGUUUGUCGCGUCUGCUGUGAAAAUCCGAGGCUCAACCUCGGACCUGCAGUGGGUACGGGCAAACUAGAGUGCGGUAGGGGAGAUUGGAAUUCCUGGUGUAGCGGUGGAAUGCGCAGAUAUCAGGAGGAACACCAAUGGCGAAGGCAGAUCUCUGGGCCGUAACUGACGCUGAGGAGCGAAAGCGUGGGGAGCGAACAGGAUUAGAUACCCCGGUAGUC